UCCAAACCCCCAGGGGCCUCACAAAAUCUAAUAGCCCCAGGCCCACAGGAGAGUCAGUCCGGAAGAAGUCUCUCCUGAAUUUUUUUUUCCCAUGUUGAUGCAAUACUGAUGCUGUGGGACCUUGUGAGGCAAGAAAUGCCCCUCUCCCUUCCAAAGGCCAGGACUGGAGUGCAGAUGGUUCACAGACGGGAACAUUAAUGUAUUGUGCCAUGGUGCUGAUGCUUCCCUUUGUUUUGUUACUAAUUAAUUAUCCUGAUUUUCAAAUGGCUGGCUCCUAGGUGUCAAAGGGUAACUGGUACAGAUAGCAGAAAGCUAACACUAACUUCACUUCAUUAUUUUUUCUUGGAAACUUAAAAAUUCCAAUCUUGUUACAUUAAGCUAAGUCAUGCAGAAAUGCACCAGCUGUUCUUUGGAUAGUGGAAGCCAAAUUCAGCAUUACAUUCUUUUUUCUUCAGAGGCUCGUUCUAAAACUACUUGACACAAUAAGUAAGGGAAUCUUAUCUGCGCUCUCCUUCCAUUUAUUUGAUUUUCCUAACUUAUUUCUUUAAGGUGGACUGUUUCCAGCACUUAGCAAGAAAAUAAAAUUUAAAAAGUCAAUGAAUUCGUUUACAGAUCGGUUAUUCAGCCUCCCGCUGAAGUGGAGAGGCUCACUGGUGUUGAGGGAAUAAUUAUAGCUUCAUACCCCCAUUCUCCUGUGAUGGAUGUCCUGCUCUGGACAGUCAACCCAGGGAUCUUUCUGACCAGGUCUUCCCUGGACUGGGGGUGAAAAGGCUUGAGGGUACCCCACAGGAAGGAAUUCCCAAUGCGCCUUCCUGGGUUCUCAAAGGGAUUUUUGCACUUGGUGGUGGCAUCAUCUACCCAUCCAAGUUCAGCCACCAAACCAAAAUAUGGUUAUUCGCACAGCUCCAGCGGCGAGUCCCUCUAUUUUCAGUGCAUAGAAGUCUCUUUUCCAUGCAGAGAUGGCAGAAGGCGCAAUAAAGAUGCAGUAGAAAACAGAGAGGUUGAAUAGGAGUUAUUGGGGAGCCAUUGGAGGGAAUGGGAAGGUGAGAGCAGAAGUGGAGCAGGAAGCUGGAGCUAUAAAAUAAUAAAACAAGUUAUAAUAUAUGGUGCUGUAAUUCCGUCUUGGGGUCCUCAAACAUCUGACAGGUUUCAGAGUAUCCCUCUUGUGGUUUAUGAUAAACCCCUGGAUAGAAUUUGAGCCCCCAUUAAUAACAGUUGCUUGUUAUUUAUUGUAUAUCGUAGUGUUUGAAUCUGCUUUUCUAGGAAGACGUUUUCCUCUCUUUCUCUCUCUCUCUCUCUCUUUCUCCUCGCUGGGUUUGUUUUGUUUUUCUACCAAAUGUUACAUGCUGUAAUUUAAAAAGAAAAGAAAAGGAUGAUAAAAUGACUGUAAGUGUGUCUCUAGGGGGGAUGUAUUUGAUUAAUGUGCCUAAGGGCCAGAUUUUCAAAGGACCUCUCCGAUUUGUAUGUAUUCAAAACUGGCACUUUAUUGAAGUUGGGCACUUAAGUGUGUAGUUACUUGAUAAGUGCAUGCAAAUACCUGUUAGCAUGUGCAUGCAAGUGUGUGCGCACAAACUGGAAGCCUUUUGAAAAUCAGAUCCCAGGGUGAUUUUAGCAUGAGGUAAAGAGCCAAGUCAUGAUGAGAUUAUUGACUGAUAUUCCAUGGGAGUGUCAGCAGAAUUCUAACAGAAGCCAGGAGAAAGGCCUAAGUGUAUUGCCUUUGCUUGCCAGCAUCAUCUCUGAAAUAUGUGUAGGAUUAGCUUCUUUUACACAAGCCGACUUCCUGCAAGCUCAUGAGAGGCAGAUUCAUACACUCUGCAAAUUCUUGCAAAGUGUGUGAUUUCCACAGAAGUUUGAUGUCCGUGAGGUUGGUGUAGUAUGUUGAUUAACAUGUUAUUUCUGAGAAGUGGUGUAGGAGGGGAGAGGUUAUGAAAGGUCCUCUUGAUUUCAUUACUUUCUUUUCCCCCUUAUCCCGUGUGCCAAGAGCACUUAGCAGAUUCAUGGUCCUUGACUGGCAUGCAAGUUUUAAAAGAGAGAGAGAGAGAGAGAGAGGAAAACCAAGGGACUCCAUUAGAAAUUGCUUCUGCUAGCUCAUUAAUCUUUUACUGCAAAUAAUACAUGCAAAACUUGAGCUAGCAAAGCUCCAAAGAAUAACAUUUUUUGUGGGGUUGUAACAAAUUAAAGAAAUAAAUUACCGGUAAGUCACCAGCCCAGCAGGGAAGUGCUUGAAACCUCCAGGCUUCAUGUGUUUUACUAUUCUAAAAAUAAAUAAAUAAAUAAAUAAAAUAAAAGACAUUUCAGUUGAAAAUUAAUAUUUAUUUUAAAUGGCCGUGUUGGGUUUUCCUGCAGCCCAGCUCCUCGCAACCUCCUGCUUUCCCCUCCCCUGCAGCUGGAGUUUGGAAACUGAGGGAAGAAAAUGAAGGCAUGGAGACAGACAGAUAAGCUAGCCCAGUGGAGGUCGGUGGAUGCUCUUUAUUAGCAAAGGGCUGUAAAGAAAAAUUCAAACUAGAAUGCUUGGGAGCAGAACUGUGUACAGACUCCCUGAUCCAGCAGACUCCUUAAGCUUGUAUCCAACUUUCAGCAUGUGAGUAAUCCCAUUGAAAUCGUGCUUGAAGUUAGCCAGGAUGCUUAAGAACCUUGCUAGAAUCAGGGACCUAGGGCCCAAUCUGAAUCCCAUUCAAUCAGCAGAAGGACUCCCAGUGCCUUCAGUGGGUUUUGGUAGUGGUGGCUGGUGCCCAAAAGAAUGGGUAGGGCUGCAGGUGGGAAGCUGGCUUGUGCACACAGGUUAUACUUUUACUGCAGCAUGGUCAUAUUUUCAAAGUGCAACACUGGGCCACAGGGAAGUAGAGGAAAAAGGGGUUCCCUCUUUCCUCUCCCCCUCUUUCAGAAUUAAAUAUUAAGACACUUUAUAGUCAAGGUCAUGGUGGGGGGGAAAAACAAUAUUUAUCCCUCUGUUCACUGUUCUCUCCUAAAACCAAUUUCAACCCAUCCAAUCUAGCUGCUACCUAACUAUCUUCUCCCUCAUCAUCCCUUCCCCAGUGCAUGCUACCAAUUCACCCAAAUCCUCUGUCAUCAAUUGACUUCCUUUCCUCCCUGCAUUCACACCCGGCAACCCAAUCCAAUCCUCACCUGGGAAAGGACUACUAUAUUCCAUAUCUUUUUCGCGUGUCUGCGCUGGCGCACCUGUUAUCUUUACAAGCCAGUUGAUCUGGGGGACAAUUAUCCUUCAGUGAUGAACAAAGAUCUAGGGGAAGAUUUUCAAAGCACUUACAUGCCUAACUCCCACUGAAUUUCAUUGGGAGUUUGGUGCCUAACUCUCACUUAUGCCUUUGAAAAUCUCCCUCCACUCCCACCAAGUGUCCAUACUGAAACUGUAUAUAUAAUUUCAUAUAAAAAACCCCUAUGUUAAAAGGACAUUUAUUGAAGUUACACAGUCAGGCACUCAUUAGUUAGGAAAUGCCAGAAUUAAGGUUGCUUGUGCCCUCUUCAUUUGGCUCCCUUGUGCAUCUGCAUUAUGAUAGUCUUUAACUACGUGAUCACAUGCUAUGUUUUCCACAGGACACCCACCGCAUUCGGUGCACGGGAUGGAUGGUACUCACUUGGUAAACAGCUAUUCAAGAUUUUGUUUGGUCCUCAUUGUCCAAUGUGUGGCCCCAGGCCAUAUUUAUUGCAAACCAUGCUCUAAAGACAGAAAUAUUAAUUUCCUCAUGGACUUUUCUAUGUCUCUCAUCAUUAUAGUAGCAGAGUGCUUCACAAAUAUUAAUUUAUUUUCACAUAUGGGCACAACCAUGUAUUUUUCACUAGCCUAAUUCUCAGAAAUGACUGAACUAUUCUGGCUAACAUUUUCCAAAGUGUUCAUCCUGAGGCAGACACCUGGCAUGGAAAAUUUUAGUCCAAAUAGUUAGUUUGGUGAAGUUGAAAGCAACCAAAAAAGUGGGAAGUGUUGGGAAAUCUUAAUAUUACUUCCUGGGUCUGACCUCGGAGCAUUCAGCAUCCCCUUCUACACCAUGCACUUCCCAAAGCAAGUCCACCUGGGCGGGGCUCCUGGGGAAGCCAGAGGGCUCUGCACCCCAAUUCCGGAGUCAGACGUGACUCUCAGCCAGCUGGUAAAACAGAAGGUUUAUUAGUCGACAGGAGCAUCUUGGGAGGACGGGAGCCCAGAGCCAAGGCUCUGGCCCUCCUCCUGUGCCCUAAGCCAGCUGAGACUGACUUGCUUCCAGUUGUCUGGCCCCUGCCCUGCCCAUUGCUCCUCCUCCAGCCUUUGUCUCGCUUCCCAGGCCAGAGUCACCUGAUUGCAUCCCUCUCCUGGGUCUCAGGUUAUGAAGGGGCGGCCAUAGCAUCCAUACAGGCAGCUGGAGCAGCCUCCACAAAAGUCGCACACAGCAUCCAUGCAAAACAGCAAGACACACACAACAUAACAAGGGGAAAUCCCCACUUCGUCACAAUGCCAUGCAAAUUGGUUGUGAACAUGCCUCUAUAUAAAUGUAUUAUAUACAAAUAUAAAUUUACUGUAAAGAAAUCCUUUUUUAUUAGGCAGCUUUUCCAGUUCUGUGACCAACUUUUUCCUUUCCUUUAACUGAGGCCUGUAUUUAUUUUUUUUUAAAGUACAAUAAUUGAAUUAAGAAUCUGAUCAGCACCUAUUUGAUGUUGAAAUUAUUUUUUAAAUAUAACAGUAUUGCUCAAGGAACUUAAUAUAAUAAAGAAAGAUCUUAUUAUCUGAAAACUUGCCACUAAAAGGAUUUGGCAUCUAAAAAGUGAGUUGCUCUAAACUCAUAAAAACCACUUAUACAGGGUCUGAAAGUUAUUCCAAAUGUGGCUAUUAAAAAUAGAACUGCUUGAAGUUCAAGAGUAAAAUCUUCAGAGGCAACAAAGUCCCAUUUUCAAAAGGAACUUAGGAAUUUAGGAGGCUAAAGCCCCAUUUUUUAAAGGUAUUUACGUGCCAAAAACUGCAGAUCAGUGCCUAAAUCCUAUUGAGUUCAAAUUCUUUUGACUUGCAAUGAGAUUUAGGCUCCUAAAUGCCUAAAUCAAUUUUGAAAAUAGGACUUAAGCUCCUAAAUCAGUUAGGUAUUUUUUAAAUUUUUACCACUAGUCACAAUAACUACUUCAGAGAUCACCUUACCUCACUUCUCAUUCAUAGAGUUCCUGGGUCCAAACCUGCCCUCCGCAACACAGGUGCAACUCCUCUGGAAGUCAUUGGGAAUUGCACUUGGGUAACUGAGGACAAAAAGGGGGUCCCUUGUGACACUGGUAAGUAGCCAUGAUGAUGACUUAUUAAAUUAUUGACCAAAGGGCCAUGGAUGUGCACACAGUACUACAGCUGUAGGCAAAAAGAUGUGAGCCCUGCCCCAUGGAUCUUAAAAUCUGUCACAAUAAAGAACACAAUAAAAAGGAAAAUAGACAAUGGUAUGUUGCUUAUCAAUCAGCCUUCAGAAAUCAGGUUGGUAAGUAAACUCUUUGAUUUAUUCCAUGGCCAUCCAGCUCCAUCUGACUGUUAAAGCUUCUGGCCCAGAUCCUCAAAGGUAUUUAAGGUGCCUAACUUCCAUUGACUUCAAUGGGGCAUGCUUUGACCCCUAGCCUGGGAAGUAAUGUAGUCACUCACAUACUAACUUCACAUCAUCCCCUUUACUUAAUGUUGACUGUGACAUUCUAUACCUUGGGGGAGCGUCCUGGAACCCCAUAUUCCUCAUUUUUAUAUAAUCGAGAUCUUGCAUAUAAAGCAUGCCUUGUAAGGUAUCAGGGGA